GGGAGAGUCAGAAAGGCGAGGGGCGCCGGGAGCAGGCGUGUGGGACUCCUGACCGGAGAGCCGGAGGCUGCGCCUUCCCCGCACCGGGACCUUCACGACACACCAGAUCCUAGUCCUUGCCCCGUGCGAACGCCCACGAUGACCACCACCCUCGUGUCCGCCACCAUUUUUGACUUGAGCGAAGUUUUAUGCAAGGUAAAGCAGGGCGGAGCGUUGGCUUUUUGAAAGUUUCUCUUGUGCUCCAAGAAACUCUAAAAAGUUUGGGUCUCGGGGACGUGAAGGAGUUUCACUGCUUGCGUUUCCCUCCAUGGUGAAGGAAUUUGUUUAUGUCCUCCUCGCACUUAAGUUUCAGGUCCCAGGUGGGGUUCUGUGAAUCCGGGGAGCAAAGUUCUGGGCGACUGCUCCAGUUUGCGGGGCAAGGAGGUGCGGAAGAGUGGUUAGGUUUGGGACGAAUUUUGAAGGAUUCUUUUCUGCAUGGUGCACCUCCGGAGCUGGGCUAAGCGGGUGGGCUCGGCUUCGCAGUGUGCGCCUUGGGUUUCCUGUACCCGCUGGAGAUGUUCGAGGUUACCCAACACCUUUUGCUAGGGGUCUCUAGGAAAAGCGAGGUCUCAGGGCGGUAUCUGACUGGGAGAAUUUUCCUGUCUGUUUUGGGGAGCUAAGAGAUAAUGCGACGAAGAAAGAGGCCGACUUAAGGUUCAAAAAGAUGUAGGCAAAGCGACUUUGUAGUGGAGUUUGUCCGCCCCAGCUGGGCUAGGUUCCCGCUGCGGGAGCUGGUCGAUCGUGCUGCAAACUUGGGGCUGAAACUGUUUGCUUACCUGGGUUGUGAGGCACUACGGUUCGUUGACUAAGGAAUAGGGGAACAAAAUGCUGCCAGACCUCAAGUUCCCGCCAGUUAGGAUUUAAGAGGGCCAAAAUGGGGCAGUUUGCCAGUCAGGUUUUUG
rnacentral:lncRNA from 1 species